GUGGCAAAUGCGGUUGGAAUUACAGCAUUGUCACUGCCGAGGUCGCGGGUUCGAAUCCCGCCGGUGCUGCA
rnacentral:tRNA from 1 species